GAUGUCGGGGCGGCGACUUCGACAUUUGGUAGCUUCGAGGGCUUUUGACUUCGUGUCGUGUGGCCGACGAGGUUGCCAUUGAUGUUGGUCGUCGGCAAUAUGCCAGAUUAUGCAAUUGGCGUAGGACCCAUGGAGUGCAAGCCCUUCAUUUCUGUGGGAGAGUCCCAUCACUACUCCUCUCAUAGUAGUCACAAAUUCUUCUUUCCGACAAUGGUGCAAGGUUGGCUUGUUCGGCGGAGCAGGGGUUCCCGUUGCUUAUGUAUGUGCGGUGGGUGUUCUUGUGCCAUUCGGCAUUUUAUCGACAAGAGUGGUUUGACAUCGUGUGCUUUGGUGUUCCAGAGUGGACUUGGCCCUUGAUGUAUCAGUUUUCACCCGGUUUUCUCCUAAUUAAUUGGACAUUUCUCUUCUGCUUAAUGGACGAGGCAAAUCUUUUGCCUUCAUUUAAAAAAACCCUCCACACUUUCUAGGUUCCAAUUCUAGGAAGAUGUUCUAGGAAAACAAGGCCCCUCUUUGGAUAUGGCUGCAAUCGCUACAAUAACAACACGUCUACACCCAAGUCCACAUCUAAAACAUGAGGGCACACGCUAUGACUCUGCUUCCACAUAUAUCUGUUUAGUGUUUACCCGACAGCACGACCGUGUUACAGACCGUGGUGAUUCCUCGGGGACAAAGAGCGAUGAUCCAUGCAUGCGGCAUGGAAUUCUCCAACCAUUGAUGUUGGUGACCGCACGUCGAGGCGAUUUCUCCACGAGCCUAGCUGGCUGGGUGAAAAUCCUGUCGCUGUCUGGUGCGCGUCCCGGAGCUAGCUAGUACAAACACCGAAACGUGGAAAUGGAGGAAGUUGCCAUGGUUUGGUGGGUGCGUCCUACAGGUCGAGGACUCCAUGAUUUGUAUUUUGCGGGUCAUGAAAUUUCUUUUUGUGCGAACAUGUUCAACAAAAUUCCUUAUAUAUUUCUCCAUUCUUGGUCUCAAGGGUGAGUUCCAAGUGGAUUAAACGGGUGUUAUUAGUUUGGUUAGAACAGGAGGCAUCCAAAUCCGACUAAUCUUUGUGCUUGGUUCUAAGUAGUCUCUGCAAAAUGCUAGCUGUAUCCUUAAUUUACUUGUACGUCUACGGUUCCUUAACCAGAUGUUCCUCUAGUGGGUGGAGCAAGUCGUGCAACAAUGCUCUCGCCAUGAAGUCUGAAGCCUUUAUCAUUGAUAACUUUGUGGAGAAUUUCUGGCGCAUGUAGCCUGACAGAAGGAACAGUGUCACUUCAUCCCACUAGUUAACACAUUCAUGCAAAGAGGAACUAGGACAAGUAUUGCGUCUCAAAGAUAACAGGUUGGUCUUCAGAGACACGAUGAGCUCACACUCAUUGGGCGGUUGCACGAGGUCAUGGCUACACGACGCUAACCCGGUUGUCGCAGUGGAACAAAUGGGUACUCGGAAAAUGAAACCGAGACAAGGAGAUAUGUUCCACCCAACAAUGAUAGAGUGCCAUGGAUCAGGGUCGAGGCUAGAAUGAAACGAACGGAUAUCGAUUUGGUUGGGGAGGAAGGCAAACAUGAUCAAAAGGAGCAAGUGUGGCAUAAGACACAACACACAUGACGUGAGUUGUGCACACCAAGGAUCCGCUUCCUUGUCCCAAAGGCUUCAUUCAACCUUUGUGAUCGAUAUUGGUAGGUGGAACAUAUUCCAUUCAUUGCCAACAAUUCACCGAUACCUCCCACACCUAUGGCUACACUUCCUACUAGCUACUUUUCUCGUUGGCAGUUUAGCUCGCCUUUGAUACACUGAUUUUGUUAUCUUUGGCCUAUAGAUCAUAGUAUAGUAGUAGGGGCUUUAUAUGCGGCCAUCUAUAUUGCAGUAAUUAAUGUUAUCCAGUACAAGAUGAGGAGGAGGUUGUUGCACAGGUUGAAGCAAUGACUUCAUAAUUCACCUUAACACGUACAUGUGUAUACAAUGUUGCUAUUUUAAGAGUGCCAUGUAGAAUAAAUCUUGAGGUAAAGAAGAAAAAAAUCAUAAAAAAUUGCAUUCUCUUAAUCAAGAUCUGAACUCUUAGCAAUAAUAUCUCUUAACAUAUAUUUAGCUAUAUGUAGUUUUUUUUCAGGAGUACACCAAAAGUGUACCAUAGUUUUAUAGAUCAUGUGUUUACAGGUAUGAUCAUUCGAUCUACACUUCUCAUCGUCGACAAUGAUUGUUGUUCUCGUCGUGUGAGACCUUAGUACAAUGACUUUUCGACUAUCUAGUAUCUACUACAACUAGAUUUAUUCGACUCCACUGAGGGAGAGCUAUGACGACUAGUUUCCGUGUUUGUAGUCGCUAGGUGGUCCACUGGACCCGACUGUAUUUUUUAUGGAUUCAAUAGGAUGACCUCCCGUAUUGAACGAAAGGUUCUUUGGGAAUCAAUCGUUCAAGCAAACGACAAUGUUCGCUACGAUCAGGUCCAGGCCCCUCCCCCCUCGAUGGCACUACAGAUGGGCCCAAAAAGAAAGCCUGGUUUUGUUGCAUCUAAGCCUUAAACUAGCCUAGUUUUGCUGUGACUAAGCCUUAAAAGAAAAUAAGUUUGUCAAAACUAAAAAUGUCAUGUGUGGAAAUUUAGAAAUUGUCGCUGUGCUUCAUGAGAUGCUGCAAAAAAAGUAAAAAAAAAUGUGAUGAUAAAAAAUGCCAUGGUGUGUUUAAAAGUGCUAUAGUGUACAAAAAAUGAAUAUGCCAUGGUGCUAAAAAUAAAUUUGUCAUUGUUAUGAAAAAGCUUCCAUUUUUUAUUCCCAUGGCAAAAUUAUUACCUAUACCAUGGCAAACUUAUUACAUAUUCCUUACAAAAUUUACCGAUGGUCAUGUAUGUAAUUUGCCAUGUCCUAGAGAACACGAAACCCCCUAAAAAAUGCCAUGUGAUUAGUCGGCCAGUUUUAAAAAAAAAGCUGUAUUAUGAUGAUCAAAUUUCAUUAUAAUGUCAUCUGACUAACCUAAAUAAUAAAACAAAUCUCUAAAACGUGGCAACAUGGAAAAGUUACAAAAACCUGAUCUCCCACAAAUAAAAAGCAAUGUUUUUCGGAGAACCCUACAUGGGAUUGCUAAUUUGCCAUGGUCAAUUGCAGAAAGGAAAAACGCAAAAAAGAAUUACGUAAUAAGUUUGGCAUGGUCUAGUUAAAUAAAUUGUCAUGGCAAAGCUAGUUGUUCUUUGCCAUGCUACAAAAAAAUUGCCAUGGUAAAAAAAUAAAGUAAAAAUAAAAUUGUCAUGAUAGAGAACGAAAAAGAAGAUACCAUGGAUUGUUUAGUAAAAUUUGCCAUGGUUCAUGUAAGCAAAAACUUCCCACAAAAGCGAUGAAAGUAAUUGACGUGUUUCAUAAAGUAAAUUUAUCAUAGUGCAUAAAAGCAAAACUUCCCAUAAGCGAUGAAAGUUACAUUUGCAUGGAUGUGUGAUACAAUAAGAAGUAAAUUUGCCAUAUAUAUGUAAAAAGCAAGUUUGCCAUGGCAAAAUGAAAGAUAAAUUUGCCAUAUAUAUGUAAAAAGUAAGUCUGCCAUGGCAAAAUGAAAGAUAAAUUUGCCAUGGCAAAAUAAAAUAUAAAUUUGCCAUGGCAAAAUAAAAUAUAAAUUUGCCAUGGCUGUAAAGUAAAAUUUGCAAUGCCUAUAAAAGUAAAUUUGCUAUGGCUAUAAAACUAAAUUGACGGUGCUACAAAGUAAAUCUGCCAUGUUCUUAAAAGGCAAAGUGUUAGGAAGAUCAUUUCCGAAAUAACAACUUAGACAUGGUAUUGGUAAAUAGCUAAUUUGCCAUGAUCUACAUGAGUACAUAGUAAGAAUUGCCAUACCGCGGUAGAAAAUGGCUAAUUUGUGAAAGCAUCUUAUGAAAAGCAAAAAAAAGCAUGUUCAUACAGGCUGAACAUGUAAACAUGCAUCUUGCUUAGUUGAUUUAAGUGGCAAUUUACAGAGACCUAUAAGGAGAAAAGCUAAUAUUCAACAAAGUUAUGAAAAGGAUGGCAAAACUGCCUGCCGUUGUACAACAAACACAAAAAGUACACCACAAAAAAUUAUAUUAUUUUUCGAGGUAAAAAAUCAUGUCAGAUGUUCAGAAAAAUGUUAUGAGUGGGAGUGUCCAUGGAAACUCACGUACAUGUAGCAAAAAUACUUAACAAUCCCAUGGCAAAUUAACAAUUAGAUGGGCAUGUGUAAAAAAUUUGGAGACAUGGCAAACUUGAUGGCAUGGGAAAAUUCAAGGGAUCCAUGACAAUUUCAACAAAAUUGCUGCAAAAAUGCAAGGGAGCACAAGAGGUACCCGUGGAUGUGGAUGUUGGGAGGCUUUCGGGUGCGAGCUGAGGUGGCGUAUGUAGGUCCAAUCCGGUGGUGGCGGCGUCGAUCCUUGCCGCGUCGUGCUGCACCCGUGGUGCAGACCUGGCCAAACGGGCCGGCCCGGCACGGCCCGACGUGGCACGUUUAAUAGCCGGGCCGUACCGUGCCGGCCCACGGGCGUGGCUCUCUGGCCCAGGCACGACCUGAUUAUUAAACGGGCCGGCCCGUGGCACGUUUAGCACGCUGGCCCAUCUGAUUUUUAGCCUGUUGGGCUGUAUUUUAGGCCUAUUAGGCUGUAAUUUAGGUCAUAUAUAUAUAUAAAAAAAUCUGAAAAAAUAAAACGGGCCGUGCCGUGCCGGCCCGCGUGCCCAGCCUCCAGGCCCAGGCAUGGCCCAUGGCGUGCCGCGUGCCGGGCCUAGCCCGUUUAGCUCGGGCCGUGCCGUGCCUGGGCCGUGUCGUUCCUGCGUGCUACUGGGCCGACCCAGUUAGCACGACCCGUUUGGCCAGCUAUACCGUGGUGUGAGGCUAGCUGCAUGACCGGUUCGGCCAUGAUGGUGGAGGCUGUGGCGGAGCAACGCAUCGACGGCAGGAGCAGUAGGGCGAGUCGUACUCGACCACACAUAACGUUGCGUCUGCUACUCAUCUUCCGCAUUGCGCCUCACCGAGCAGUGUAGUGUCGGCUCCCCCUUCCGCGUCCGUCUCCACAUUGCGACCACCUUGCACCCGGCCCCCGAUGACUGGGAGCACUGGAUGCAGUUGUUGUUGGAAGAGACCGCAGUGGGCGAGGGAGAACAACCGUAACGGGGAAAGGAAGAAGAGCCAUGGCGUUGCCCUUAGCCGGAGAAGCUCGUGCCAUCUCGAUUUGGAGGUGUAGCACUCGCGUGGACGUUGCCCGCUUCCUGGUUCUUGAGCCCGUUCACCGUCGGCAAGGGCGCGCGACGCCGCCUUGGGUGAGGAGGGAGGUUUCCGCGAUGACGGUUGUUCCCGAUGGGAGGAUGCGGCCAACACAGUUAUUGCAAAAUGCCGGUGGGGAGAAAGAACAACGUGGUGAGAGUGAGCACAAAGAGAUGAAUAGGGGCAUGGGGUUGCGGUCGUUGUGGCAGCAAACUUGCCGUGAGAUUCGUGCUAACGAUUCAAUGGUGAAAAAUGCGUUUCAUCCGUAAUCCUACAAACCGACGUCUUUUUUUAGUGAUUUCGAUUUUUAGUACCUCUAAUAUUCCGUACUGUCUUAUUAUAUCUGAUAGAUUUUUCCGAGGAAAAAGGUAGAGCAGAGCCCCCUAUCUAUACUUGCCCAUGGGCAGCCCGGCCCGGACGGCCCGACCCAACCCGGGCUAUAAAAGCCCGACCGGGCCUUGCCCAUAGGCUAGGCCUGGACCUAGAUUUUGAUCCCGAUGACCGGGCCAGCCCGGGCCCGGGCCCAUCGUUUCUGUAGUUUAAGGAAGAGGCCCGGCCCGAGGCCCGACAAGCUUUUUGCAUGAUGGGCCAGGCUUGGGCCUGAUUUUUAGGCCCGAUGACCGGGCCCGACCGGGCUCAGGCCUAGGUUUUCUCCAUCGGCUUUGGUAGGCCCGGCCGCCCGACGGAUGCCCAGGUAUACCCCUUUGCCCUCUCUCACCGUGCCAACUACUCCAAUCAUACUUGUCUCAAACAAAAAAACUACUCCAAUCAUACGUGAGGGCGCGGAUGCAAAAACACCCCACACCAAUCAUCCACGCGAGGGCGCGGAUGCAAAAACGCCCGCAGUCCAGCCAGUGCCGCUCCGCUCUAUAUAAACGAGCCGAGAGCGGGGGGCGGAAACCCUAAGCAGAGUGGGGAAAGGCGUCUUCGUACUCGCCUCUCUCCGCGCAUCCUAGCCUUCGCCCUCCUCCUUCCCCAUUUCGCCAGCGGCGCAGCCCACCAACCACCCCCACCCGCCGCCAUGAGGGAGUGCAUCUCGAUCCACAUCGGCCAGGCCGGCAUCCAGGUCGGGAACGCGUGCUGGGAGCUCUACUGCCUCGAGCAUGGCAUUCAGGUACGGAUCCAUCCGCUCGCCCCUCCUCCCCCCUUGGCAUGUCGUGUUCAGCGUCGGAUCUGGGGUUUGUAGUGGUUGGUGGUGCGCUCGGUCGGCCGGAUCUGGCGCAGAUCUGACUGCGGCUGGUCAGAUCUGCGGUUGCUCGAAGGGAAAAACCUGGAUCUGACGGAAUGCAGGGUGCAUGCGGUCGAUUCUGUGGGUCGAUCUGGUGUUGUGAAGGGCGCGGCCGGUUCGAAUUUGAAUUUUUAGGUGUGGAUUUACUGGAUCUCAGAUCUGAUGCAGUUCGCACCUGCUAUGGUGGUUGUAUAGGUUUUCCUUGUUCCGGAUAUGACCAGUUUUUCCCGAAACUGAAUCCAUCGGUUUGAAAAGCCACUUGCUAGAUAGAAUGUGAUCUGUAUAUUAUAAUAGGACGCCAGAUGUAUCAUCUGCUCUUGUUAGAACAUCACUGAUCUGGCGCACACUCGUUUUGUUUGAUCUGCUCUGUGCUGUACUGUUUAGAUCUGAUCGAAUUCUGCUAGAUCCGGUGGUAUCUGUUCAUGCAUGUAAUGUAUCCUUGCUGAUGGUUCUGAAAUUCACAUUGCCUGCUGGUAGAGAAAUGCAUCUCUAACUGAUUACCGUACUUAUCUUGUUGCUGCCAGGAUCCUUUUCUUGUCCUGUUGCUACAGAAUUUAGUAUGUUAGCUCUACAGCUUUAACACUGUUUAAUCCCCCCUGUGCAGCCUGAUGGCCAGAUGCCCGGUGACAAGACCGUUGGGGGAGGUGAUGAUGCUUUCAACACCUUCUUCAGCGAGACUGGUGCUGGGAAGCAUGUCCCCCGUGCUGUCUUUGUAGAUCUCGAGCCCACUGUGAUUGAUGAGGUGAGGACUGGUGCUUACCGCCAGCUCUUCCACCCUGAGCAGCUUAUCAGUGGCAAGGAGGAUGCAGCCAACAACUUCGCCCGUGGUCAUUACACCAGUAAGUGCUGUGCUUGUUCUUUGUUAUUAUGACAGUAUUCACUCUUGCUCCUUAUGUGGCUAACUUUUGCUGCUCCUAUUGCAGUUGGCAAGGAGAUUGUUGAUCUGUGCCUUGACCGUAUCAGGAAGCUUUCAGACAACUGCACUGGUCUCCAGGGAUUCCUUGUAUUCAACGCUGUUGGAGGUGGAACUGGCUCUGGCCUUGGCUCGCUUCUCCUGGAGCGCCUCUCUGUUGACUAUGGAAAGAAGUCCAAGCUUGGGUUCACGGUGUACCCAUCUCCCCAGGUCUCCACCUCUGUUGUUGAGCCAUACAACAGUGUCCUGUCCACCCACUCACUCCUUGAGCACACUGAUGUCUCUAUCCUUCUUGACAAUGAGGCCAUCUAUGACAUCUGCCGCCGCUCCCUUGACAUUGAGCGCCCAACAUACACCAACCUCAACAGGCUUGUUUCUCAGGUACAGUCUUGUUUCUGCAUGGUUACAUGUUUUCUGUUUGAUGUUUGUUUCAAGUUGCACUUCCUAAUAAUGUUUGACUGGGAUCUAAUUCAUUGGUUAAACAUCUAAUGUGCAGGUCAUUUCAUCACUGACAGCUUCCCUGAGGUUUGAUGGUGCUCUGAAUGUUGAUGUCAAUGAAUUCCAGACCAACUUGGUGCCCUACCCGAGGAUCCACUUCAUGCUUUCCUCCUAUGCCCCAGUGAUCUCAGCUGAGAAGGCUUACCAUGAGCAGCUGUCCGUUGCUGAGAUCACCAACAGCGCCUUUGAGCCUUCGUCCAUGAUGGCCAAGUGCGACCCCCGCCACGGCAAGUACAUGGCCUGCUGUCUCAUGUACCGUGGUGAUGUUGUGCCAAAGGACGUCAACGCUGCUGUGGCCACCAUCAAGACCAAGCGCACUAUUCAGUUUGUUGACUGGUGCCCCACUGGCUUCAAGUGUGGUAUCAACUACCAGCCACCAGGUGUCGUCCCAGGCGGUGACCUUGCCAAGGUCCAGAGGGCUGUGUGCAUGAUCUCCAACUCCACCAGUGUCGUCGAGGUCUUCUCCCGCAUCGACCACAAGUUUGACCUGAUGUACGCCAAGCGUGCCUUCGUCCACUGGUACGUCGGUGAGGGCAUGGAGGAGGGAGAGUUCUCUGAGGCCCGUGAGGAUCUCGCUGCCCUGGAGAAGGACUAUGAAGAAGUUGGUGCUGAGUUCGACGAGGGUGAGGACGGUGAUGAGGGCGAUGAGUAUUAAGCCUGCCUCCUGGUGCUUUCCCAAGGCUUGCUACUGCUAUCCUAUGAUCUGCCCGAGUGGCUUUAUCUGUUAUCUGUCUGUUUGAACGUUUGCUUUGUGGUGUUUGUUUUACAACCUGUUGUGUUGUAAGAACCUUGUAUCUUUGAACCUGCUUUGCACCUUGGUUAAUAUGCAUGCUAUCUGGUUAUCUACACCAUAGCCUCCAUUUUCCUGUUUUAUAAUUUGUAUUGUUUCAUUUGUUUUACUGUUGAACUCUGCCUAUUGUCUCAACAUAGCCGGUCUGAAGCCCGAGUGAAGGAGUAUGGUUGAGAGGCUUGGUGAGCCGUUGUUAAAACUCAGCCACUUUAUGCAGUUGAAACCCAAAAGCCCUAGCCGAACUUGUUAAACUCG
rnacentral:lncRNA from 1 species